AUGCUUUUUGAUUCUUUCAGACCCAGCUCAGACAUAACCACCUCUACACACCUGCCUCGAUUGCUUCAUCACCCACACUUAAAGCAAAAUAAUGCUCAAAAUCAUAUAGUGGCGUAUUUAUGUAACUACUCCAUUUUUAUUACAGGUAUUUUAAUGGCUCCUUUGGUGAUUGCUCUCAACGAGAAUCAAGAUUCACUAGCCCUGUCCUCCUGAUGGGCGCAGCAACCUCUGGGAACUGAGUGACAGAUAUUUCCUUUAUUGGAGCAGAAACUUUCAGUGUGUGCCACUUUCCCUGACGGCCCUUGUGUUUGGCAGAUCUGCCCAGCUUCUAACCCAGCUUGCCUGCCUGGAUCCAUCAGAAACGUGAGUUUGGAGACCUUGCCCGUCUAUGGAAUUUUGGGUUUAAACCUUGAAUGCCUCUGGGGUUGCUAUGAAGAUUUAUUGCGGUAUAAUUACAAAUUAAAAUUGCACACAUUUAAGGUAUGCCAUGUAAAUAUUUGAUGUAUCCUUGUACUGGAUAAUGAUUAUUGCAAUCAAAUUAAUUUGUGCUGUCUUUAUCACACAUAGUCACUUUUUUGAGGUAUCCACAAGACUGCUAAGACAAGAUUCGACCCAUAUCUAGACUGGGUGUUCCAGACCCAAGCACAGUUCCAAGCCUUUCCCAGGGUGAGCUUUUUUUUUUCUUUUUUUAAAUUUAUUUUUUUAUUAUAUACACACACCUGCAUGUGUGUAUACAUACUCCUGUGCCUACCGAAGUCAGAAGAGUGCAUUAAAUUUCUUGG
rnacentral:lncRNA from 1 species